GCGCAUCGAAAAAUUUAUCCGGAAAAUACCUAAUGACUAAUUUGUGUUUAUAAAAUACGAAUAAUUUUUGCGUUACGUGAGUCGUGAUGAAUAAUUGAAGUAUUAAAAGUAUGCAAUUUAAAAAGUUUAAGAUGUCACUCCAGUACACCGCGGUUCUUGCCUUCUGGGUACAGUCCAGAAUCCCAGAUAGAAAUUUAUAGGUAAAAAGGGGUUGAUCGAUUCUCUCUUCCCUUCUCGCUCCGCUCGAUCUCUGUCACUCGGCUACUCUCACCUCAGUGGCCAACCCCACUCCAACCAGUUGCUGAAGCAGAAGAUCCUCAAAUGGGAGACCAACCCACAUCAAAUCCCCCGAUUGAAUUGCAAGGGGAUGAGUUUUGGCCGCUUUCAGAGAAACCCUUUUUUGAAGUCGUUAUCGCAAAAGCAAAUGUCAAGCCCUCUUAUCAAAUGGUGAUCCCGGCCAAAUUUCAACAAACACUACCUUCCUGUUCAAUUCAUACGGUUCUCAUGUUUGGGGGCAAAAACUGGGAGAUGACAUAUACAUGCGGAUCUGGUCAGAGAAAGUUCGAUACUAACUGGAGAGAAUUUGUCAAUGACAACAAUUUGAAGGUUGGAGAUGCAUGUGUAUUCGAACUCCUGGAGUGCAGCAGCACAAAACUCAUAUUCAGAGUCCAAAUUCUCAGAGGUGAUAUCCCAUCUGAACUUCUACGCAAGCUGAAAGGUGAGACUGUAGAUGCACCAAUAAUUAUUGAUUAGUAUAUUCUAUAUUGCCUGCCUUUUCAUCGAUGCUCUCAUUUUCCUGAAUGAUAUUAUCGUCAGGAGCUAAUAUAAAUUGAAUAUGUGGAACUCCAGCAGAUCUUGUUAAGGAUGCUACAUCUGUAUACUGUUGAGUCCCUUAUGUUGUUCCAGUCUAGGCGUUAUGGUGUAAUCUGACAUGAUAUUUUAUAUAUGAGAAUCUAUUGUAUGCACAUUCGGAUACGUUUGAAAGAAUGUUAUUUAGUAAAGUAUUUAAUUUCUCAGAGGCCUCCUUGAGGUUUCUGUAACUGUCCUCUUUAAUAAGUUCUUACCGCUCAACUGACCUGCUGUCUCAAAAUGCAUCAAACAACAUGAGGAAUGAAUCUGAAGGUCACAUAAUCCACUAUAGUGACAAUACUUGCUAUUUCUGACGAGUUGGGAGGUUUUCUGUGGCUAUCACGAUUCUUGGCUUGAAGGACUACGUUGUCCCCAAGGGAUUAUUGAAUCUGACGAAACUGAGGGGAUGACACCGAUUUGUUAAACCUUUAGGUUGUCUUUGUUUAGUCUGUACUUUUAUUGGAUAAUUUACCAGAUGGUGAGUUCCGUCAUUUGAUUUAAGAUUGUAUCUUUUCAUUCUGUUUUUUUGUUUCUUUUUCUCUCAGAGUGAGCAGUUACUGGAAAAAAGAGCAGUUACCACUAGUUAUGCUACAUAUGAAGAUAGACCUUUACUUGAUAUAGCUAUUUGACUGUCUCCCCAGCCAACUGUAGACAAGAUUGUUUAGGCUUUCAAACCUUGGUUAAAUGCAAAGAGUAGAAUGUCAAAAAGGAGAAGAAAAUCUCAAUCCGUUUGAACUCCUGUAAAUUGCAGCAGUUUAUGUUGUAAAAGUGGAACCUGUUUAUAAGGUUUGGGGCUAUCUCAGGCGGUGAGGGGUUAGAGAUAGCAGUUAGGAGCUUGGGAUUAGGAUAGAUGAUGAACUCGAUCUGGACACCAAAAAACCCGGUUCUUACAGUCCUGUUUUUGUUGUUUAUAUGCUUCUGUGAAUUGUACUUUGAAGCAUGUGUAAAAGAAUACAUAAAAAGAAUACAACAAAAACAGAAGGGUGAAAGAUGGUUAGAACUCAUCUAAAAAAUUUCUAACAUUCUCUUUCUGACUUCUUACCUUCGACUAUGUUACAUGUAAUCUCUUAAUCUUCUCAGUCUAACAUGCAUAUACUCAUCGCUUAUGUCUAUGUUUCAUUUGAAAUCCCACACUUCUAUAAGCUUUUCCCGAAGUUACCAUUAUAUGAAAGCCCACACAUCUAUGAGCUUUUCCAAAAGUCACCAUUUAUAAAAAUAUGAAAAUUCCAAGCUAAGAGGAGGUUUGUAAGGAGGAUUCUGUGACUUGUGUCUGAUUUCUGUUCCUCUCAAACCGAUUAUAAGCGGUCCUUGUCCGUAGGAAUAGCAAGAAGCUUGAAGUUAAACCUACUAUUGAAAUACAGCCCCACCAUAUGAAUGUCUGCCUAUAGCAUGACCUUCCCAUGCACAAUGUUGCAUCCCUUAACAAGCUCACUGGGGUGGUUGAGCUUCCUUCAUUGGAAUCAUAUACCAAAGCUGCAAGAAGGCCAUAUAGGAGUGAGCCAAUUGGGAUGUUGGUGAUGAGGAUGUUGUGGUUUACACCGGCGCUGUUUGGGCCGAAAAGCUCUGAUGUGACUGACACAGCUGCAGAAAACACAAAGCCAGAGCUUAUCCCGAUUAAGCCUGUUCCGGUACGCAGCAUUGCCUCACUGCCUGAUGCGGCCAGCAGAAAGAAGGCAAUUGGUGUUGGCACCAGAGCAACCACUAGCCAUCCAGUCCUUGCAAAAUAGACCUUGCUGCAUUAGCAAGACGCAGCUGAGAGCAAACGGCCGAAGAAGGAGCAUGAAGAAUAUACUGUGACAAGAGAACUAGUCAGGGAACUGUAUCCAAGUGAUUCUGAAAUCUGGCCUAGAUUGUUGCUGUAGACCAACCCAAUAGUUGCCCCACAUAAGUAUGCAGCAUAGUAUAGCCAAAAAUCCCACCGGCGUACGAGCAGCCUAGCUGAGUGCUCUUCACCUAGCACUGUCAACCUGUCUUUUCCCAUCACCUUCCCAAAACAAGCGAAACACCCAAAAAAGCCUUCCCUGUGUAUCAGCCCAUACGAACUGGUGUUGGUGGGAUUUGUGGCAUUCGUGGCAUUAUCAUUUUCACUUCCAGCAAUGAGUUCCUUAUGGAGCUCAAGAUCAUCAGUGUCAACCAGAUUGAAGGUUGACGAGAUUUCAGAAAGGAAGCUUGAGGGGGAGUUCCUACGAGCCCACUCACGCGCAUAUGCCAUUCCAGGCAGAGACAGAGGUAGGAUUAGGAGACAAAUCGCACCAACUAAGAGUAUCCGAGCUUUUGACGCAUCAGAUGAUAGUGAGUUGAGGAGGAGGAGAUAUAGGCCUGUGACCACAGCUAGGAUGUAUAGGCAAAGAAAAAUCAUGGAGUCACGGCGAGUGGCCUCAGCGGGAAGGGGCUGAACUGGGGGCUGACGGAGCACAGGGAUGAAUAUAACGACGGAUGGGAAGAGAGGAACUACAGCAUUAAGGAGGAGGUAGAUGGUAUCACUGUUAGGGUUUAUUGCAUUGGCAAUGAGGGUGUAGAGGGCUGCACUUAUCCCAUUGUAACUGAUUGAAAGGGACAACGCGAGUGCGCGGUUGGCUUGGAAGUGUCUGAUGCAUAGAACAUAGCAGACUGUGUUGAACCAGCAGAUGCCGGAUCCAGCCAACAAGCAUAGAAGGAAUACCUGCCAAGCCAAAACACUUAACAUUAAUCAUCUGGUAUUGUUCAUAUCGUUCGUCUUUGUUGUCGUAAACAAUUACUUCAUAGGAGGCGAAAGAUAUAUGUCCAUGUGACAAAUCAACAUCUUUCAUGCUUGACAAAUAGUCUGAACAUUCAUUGUCACGUUGGAAAUGUGCCAUAAAGCCAAUCAUGAGAUGAUACUUUACGAGCAUUUUACAUAUUAAACUAAUCUAGUUUAAUGUAAGGGCAAGCAUUGUUGUUUUAAGUCAUCUCAUUAAAUGUUAUACGCUUGAACAAUAAGUUAAAGGAAUAUGUAAUUAAGAUAAUGUAAUCUAAAGAUGUAAGAUUCAUG